rnacentral:rRNA from 1 species
AGCGAACGCUGGCGGCGUGCCUAACACAUGCAAGUCGAACGUGAAAAGGGAAACCUGAGUAAAGUGGCGUACGGGUGAGUACCGCGUAGGUAAUCUACCCCAGAAUCUGGAAUAACCUGCCGAAAGGCGGGCUAAUACUGGAUAGAGCGAGGGAACUCGUAAGAGAGUUUUUCGGGAAAGGGAGCCCGCAAGGGCCUUCGUUCUGGGAUGAGCCUGCGUCUCAUUAGCUAGUUGGUAAGGUAACGGCUUACCAAGGCGAUGAUGAGUAGCUGGUCUGAGAGGAUGAUCAGCCACACUGGAACUGAAACACGGUCCAGACUCCUACGGGAGGCAGCAGUGGGGAAUCUUGCGCAAUGGACGAAAGUCUGACGCAGCCACGCCGCGUGAGUGAAGAAGGCCUUCGGGUUGUAAAGCUCUGUCGGAUGGGACGAACAUCUUCAUAGUGAAUAGCUAUGAGGACUGACGGUACCAUCAAAGGAAGCACCGGCUAACUCCGUG